GAUGAAGAACGUAGUGAAAUGCGAUACUUGGUGUGAAUUGCAGAAUCCCGUGAACCAUCGAGUUUUUGAACGCAAGUUGCGCCCGAAGCCGUUAGGCUGAGGGCACGCCUGCCUGGGUGUCACACAUCGUUGCCCCAAUGCCAAUCGCCUCACUUUGUAGGUAUUUGCUUAGGGUGAAUGUUGGCCUCCCGUGAGCUUUGUCUCACGGUUUGUUGAAAAUCGAGUGCAUGGUGUCGGGUGUACCAUGAUGGAUGGUGGUUGAGUGAUGCUCGAGACCAAUCAUGGGUAACUCCACCAGAAUUGGGCUCGGUGACCCACAUGCGUCCCUUGGAUGCUCCCUAAGGAGACCUCAAGUCAGGCGGGGCUACCCGCUGAGUUUAAGCAUAUCAAUAAGCGGAGGA
rnacentral:misc_RNA from 1 species